rnacentral:rRNA from 1 species
UAGGGAAUCUUCGGCAAUGGGGGGAACCCUGACCGAGCAACGCCGCGUGAGUGAAGAAGGUUUUCGGAUCGUAAAGCUCUGUUGUUAAGGAAGAACGAGUGUGAGAAUGGAAAGUUCAUGCUGUGACGGUACUUAACCAGAAAGGGACGGCUAACUACGUGCCAGCAGCCGCGGUAAUACGUAGGUCCCGAGCGUUGUCCGGAUUUAUUGGGCGUAAAGCGAGCGCAGGCGGUUAGAAAAGUCUGAAGUGAAAGGCAGUGGCUCAACCAUUGUAGGCUUUGGAAACUGUUUAACUGGAGUGCAGGAGGGGAGAGUGGAAUUCCAUGUGUAGCGGUGAAAUGCGUAGAUAUAUGGAGGAACACCGGUGGCGAAAGCGGCUCUCUGGUCUGUAACUGACGCUGAGGCUCGAAAGCGUGGGGAGCGAACAGG